rnacentral:misc_RNA from 1 species
GAUGAAGAACGUAGCAAAAUGCGAUAAGUAAUGUGAAUUGCAGAAUUCAGUGAAUCAUCGAAUCUUUGAACGCACAUUGCGCCCGCCAGUAUUCUGGCGGGCAUGCCUGUUCGAGCGUCAUUUCAACCCUCAAGCACAGCUUGGUGUUGGGACUCGCGUUAAUUCGCGUUCCCCAAAUUGAUUGGCGGUCACGUCGAGCUUCCAUAGCGUAGUAGUAAAACCCUCGUUACUGGUAAUCGUCGCGGCCACGCCGUUAAACCCCAACUUCUGAAUGUUGACCUCGGAUCAGGUAGGAAUACCCGCUGAACUUAAGCAUACAAUAAGCGGAGGA